CUCCCCCCGCCCGGCGGGCGGGGAGCCCAGCUCACACGCACAGCCUCCUCGCCGCUGCCCGCCCCCUUCCCUCGCCGGGACUCGCCUCCCUCCUGCAGCCCAGCCCCAGCCACCUCCGCGUCUACGCCGCCGCCUGCUCUGGCCGGGCCGGGUCAGAGCCGGAGCAUGGAACCUGGGCAGCCCCGGGAGCCCCAGGAGCCCCGCGAGCCCGGGCCAGGAGCGGAGACCGCUGCGGCCCCGGUCUGGGAGGAAGCCAAGAUUUUCUACGACAACCUCGCGCCCAAGAAGAAACCCAAAUCGAAAGAUCACUCUGGGAUGGAUUGGAAAGGGUGAGUCCGGCAGCAAACCCACCAGUGAGAAGGCUGGUGCCUCUCUGAAGAGGAAGCUGGAUGAAUGUCAAUGCUGUGGCCUGAGUGAUGCAGAAGAAGGGAUGGAGACUGGGGACUGGGGCAGUGAAAGCAUCAGUGCUCAAAAUCCAUUUCCUCCCCAGGCACCAAGGAACCGGAGAGCUCAGGCCCAGUUGUCAGUCAUGACCCCUGGAUCAGCCCCUGACUCUCAUGGUUCUCUGGGAGGCAAGAAGCCUGGAGGCUUCCCAGCUCCUAUUCCUUCCUGCAGAAGCCCCUCUUCCCACAGGCUAUUUUGGGGGCUCUAGGCCUCAUGGGCCCCAUCAUGGCCUGGCCUGGGCUAAUUCUCAUUCCCAGGGGCCUGAGUAAAAUAUUUAACGCCUGAAGGCCUGUUGGAGGCCCUCACCUCA
rnacentral:lncRNA from 1 species